rnacentral:lncRNA from 1 species
AGUGCGCACUCCUCCCAGUGCACUGGCCGGUUGGAGUUUUGCCAGGGAGGCCUUCCCACCUGCCUGUCUCAAUGGAAAGAAUAUGUGGAUUUGGAUUCAGGGACACCUUUAUCACCUAUGUGACUUUAGGAGUCAAUGAAGCAAGUUCAUGAGACUCUGAGGCAAGGACACCAAACCAGGGGUUUUAGCUCCUACCCAUGGUACUGGCUAAUAUAUCUGACCACACUGGCUCUGCAAGACCAUGGCUGAAGACUGCUUAAAUGUUGUCCCUGAGUCAAUAUCUUAACAUUUAUUGCAUCUUUUAUUUUCUUAACAAAAAUGAAGGCAUUUGUGACUGUGUUGUUUUCCAUCAAAAAUUGGGAAUCAUGCCCUUUCAUACAACACAGUUGUGACACAAUUUGUUGAAGUGAAAGAACACUGGAACAGAAACAAGAAUACCUGAGAUGGAGACUCACCUCUUACCAUCAAUCUAGUGUUGACUUUGGGUCCAUCUUUUCUUCUG